AUAUUAAUAAGCGGAGGAAAAGAAACUAACAAGGAUUCCCUGAGUAAUGGCGAAUGAAAAGGGAAAAGCUCAAGAUUGAAUCGGAUGCUCCUAACGGACAUCUCGAGUUGUAAUCUUAAGAGUGCUUGACCAACACGUGGACCCGGGCAUAAACCUUUGGAAUAAAGGUGUUCAUAGAGGGUGAGAAUCCUGUCUAUGACUCGGUGUUCGCUGUGUUUGAUCAGGUGUUCGAUGAGUAGAUUAGGGUGGUAUCCCUGGUGGUGGUAAUCCUCAUCUAAAGCUAAAUACCAGCCAGAGACCGAUAGCGCACAAGUA
rnacentral:rRNA from 1 species